UACGUAUGGUGCAAGCGUUAUCCGGAUUUACUGGGUGUAAAGGGAGCGCAGGCGGCGCGUUAAGCCUGGUGUGAAAGCCCGCGGCCCAACCGCGGGACUGCAUUGGGAACUGGCGCGCUGGAGUGCCGGAGGGGUAAGCGGAAUUCCUAGUGUAGCGGUGAAAUGCGUAGAUAUUAGGAGGAACACCAGUGGCGAAGGCGGCCUACUGGACGGUGACUGACGCUGAGGCUCGAAAGCGUGGGGAGCAAACAGG
rnacentral:rRNA from 1 species